UGCAUGUGAUGAAAAGUGGGUAUAAGCAUGA
rnacentral:piRNA from 1 species